AGAGCGAACGCUGGCGGCAGGCCUAACACAUGCAAGUCGAACGGACCCUUCGGGGUUAGUGGCGGACGGGUGAGUAACACGUGGGAACGUGCCUUUUGGUUCGGAAUAGCUCCUGGAAACGGGUGGUAAUGCCGAAUGUGCCCUUCGGGGGGAAAGAUUUAUCGCCAUUAGAGCGGCCCGCGUCUGAUUAGCUAGUUGGUGAGGUAAAGGCUCACCAAGGCUACGAUCAGUAGCUGGUCUGAGAGGAUGACCAGCCACAUUGGGACUGAGACACGGCCCAAACUCCUACGGGAGGCAGCAGUGGGGAAUCUUGCGCAAUGGGCGAAAGCCUGACGCAGCCAUGCCGCGUGAAUGAUGAAGGUCUUAGGAUUGUAAAAUUCUUUCACCGGGACGAUAAUGACGGUACCCGGAGAAGAAGCCCCGGACUAACUUCGUGCCAGCAGCUGC
rnacentral:rRNA from 1 species